rnacentral:rRNA from 1 species
AUGAACGCUGGCGGCGUGCCUAAUACAUGCAAGUCGAGCGCACAGACGAGGAGCUUGCUCCUCUGACGUUAGCGGCGGACGGGUGAGUAACACGUGGCUAACCUACCUAUAAGACUGGGAUAACUUCGGGAAACCGGAGCUAAUACCGGAUAAUAUAUUGAACCGCAUGGUUCAAUAGUGAAAGACGGUUUUGCUGUCACUUAUAGAUGGAUCCGCGCCGCAUUAGCUAGUUGGUAAGGUAACGGCUUACCAAGGCGACGAUGCGUAGCCGACCUGAGAGGGUGAUCGGCCACACUGGAACUGAGACACGGUCCAGACUCCUACGGGAGGCAGCAGUAGGGAAUCUUCCGCAAUGGGCGAAAGCCUGACGGAGCAACGCCGCGUGAGUGAUGAAGGUCUUCGGAUCGUAAAACUCUGUUAUUAGGGAAGAACAAAUGUGUAAGUAACUAUGCACGUCUUGACGGUACCUAAUCAGAAAGCCACGGCUAACUACGUG